CCAAGUCUUGACGCACACAGAGAGGAGCUUUCGCAACAAGACUGGCAAGACAGUCAGCUCCUGUCAUCCAGAAAUCGUGAACAAACGUACAGAAGAAAUUAGUGAAAUGCAAUGUAGGGAAAUGUAAUGUUUAACAUACAUUUCCUGCUUGCUUAGCUUACGCCUUCCAUUCCAGCUAGCGCAUCCAGCACCGUACUCUAACUUGAAACUAUAACGGACACGGUUAAUUCUGCCGAUUCCAGUCUGACCGACUCACCACGUCGGUCCGGCAAAGUGCGGAGAGCACGGCGGUCACGUGACCAGGCUGAGGCCCCCUGCCGCCCAGGCCCCUAACGGCGGCGUCCAGCGCCGCCGCGGCGACCAGGGAGGGCGGAGCUCCCAGGAAGGCCGAGUCGCAGACGCACAUGGCGACCAGGGUGUCGCCAUGCCGACGCAGCGUCGCCAGGGAGACCCCCGCCGGUGUUUCUCCCUCGUGCGGCUCCCCGAGCGCGGACAAGAAGUGCGGGAGGAAGUCUUGAGGGGUUACCGCGGCAACGUCCCAUCGGAGGGUUGCUAGGACGACGCGUUCCAUCUCCUGCGAGAGGGAAGGAGGGCAAGAGGGGUGAGAACACUGAGCACACACUGUGACAAAACAAAUACAGAGAGGUACCUCUCAUGGGGGGGGGGGGAAUAUAUCGGCCACUUAUAAAGUAUAUAUAUCUAACAAACGCUCAAAUGUACAAUAAUAUUACUCAAACAGGAAAGUAAUACAAGCAGGCACAUAUACAGCAAAAUGAAAUACACAGUCACACAAAUAUAUGCUCAUAAACAGCUGGAACCUAUCAAUUGGUGGUUUAAAAUAAUACCCAAUCAAUGGUUCUGGACUGAGGUGGAUAGAGAGAUACUUGAGGGAAAGACUUAUCCUGUACUUACUGUGUGAACAACACUUGAUGUUCCUGGCUGUGGAUAACUGAUACUUAAUGAGAUUUGUACCUUAUCGGACCUGUGUUCUGUAGUUGAUGCAAAGACCCUUGGCACGCACUUAUUGUACAUCGCUUUGGAUAAAAGCGACUGUCAAAUAAAAUGAAAUGUGAU